rnacentral:rRNA from 1 species
UAAGGAAUAUUGGUCAAUGGACGCAAGUCUGAACCAGCCAUGCCGCGUGAAGGAUUAAGGUCCUCUGGAUUGUAAACUUCUUUUAUCUGGGACGAAAAAGGCGAUUCUUCGUCACUUGACGGUACCAGAUGAAUAAGCACCGGCUAACUCCGUGCCAGCAGCCGCGGUAAUACGGAGGGUGCAAGCGUUAUCCGGAUUCACUGGGUUUAAAGGGUGCGUAGGCGGGCAGGUAAGUCAGUGGUGAAAUCCUAGAGCUUAACUCUAGAACUGCCAUUGAUACUAUCUGUCUUGAAUAUUGUGGAGGUAAGCGGAAUAUGUCAUGUAGCGGUGAAAUGCUUAGAUAUGACAUAGAACACCUAUUGCGAAGCCAGCUUACUACGCAUAUAUUGACGCUGAGGCACGAAAGCGUGGGGAUCAAACAGGAUUAGAUACCCUGGUAGUCCACGCCCUAAACGAUGAUUACUCGACAUUUGUGAUACACUAUAAGUGUCUGAGCGAAAGCAUUAAGUAAUCCACCUGGGAAGUACGACCGCAAGGUUGAAACUUAAAUGAAUUGACGGGGUCAUAGCUGUUUCCUG